GGGCGGUAAUAUGUUCUUUCAGCCCAUUUCAGAAAGGCUAGAGAAGUGCAUCCAAACCCAAGAAUGGUUGGCCAAGAAUGGGAAUGCUAUUUUGUGCCUCAGAAACUUCAUAGAACAUCUAAACCCACAGAUUCACUGGCUCCAGUAGUGAGAUUCAAAUCUUUAAUACUAUCAUGGAGCAUGUCGGUUCUUGGGGCUGGGUGAAGGGGAAAGUCAAGGCCAGAAAAGCCUAGCACAAAUAAGGGCUGCACGGGACGAAAACUCAGAGGCAGCGCUGAGGUGCGAGGGGAACGUGAACCUACAUGUAAAUAAACGCUGGUCCAUCAAGAAUACAUAAAAAAAAAAUAAAUAAAUAAAUAAAAACACUUCAAAUUGUUGAUUAAAUUGAGAAGUGGUUCUUUCAAACCUGCAGCUAUUAUUUGUUCAGUUGAAUAGUUGGAUUUGAGAAUUUUCAAUUACUCGCAUUUGAUCAAAACUGUUAUGUUUGGAUAUAGUUAUUUGGAUUUCAUCAAAAUUAUACUUUGUGUUUAAUUGACUCUUUAUGAAUACCAAUAUGCCA